rnacentral:rRNA from 1 species
AGCGAACGCUGGCGGCAGGCCUAAUACAUGCAAGUCGAACGCACCUUCGGGUGAGUGGCGGACGGGUGAGUAACGCGUGGGAACGUGCCCUUUGGUUCGGAACAACACAGGGAAACUUGUGCUAAUACCGAAUGUGCCCUUCGGGGAAAGGAUUUAUCGCCAUUGGAGCGGCCCGCGUUGGAUUAGCUAGUUGGUGGGGUAAAGGCCCACCAAGGCUACGAUCCAUAGCUGGUCUGAGAGGAUGAUCAGCCACACUGGGACUGAGACACGGCCCAGACUCCUACGGGAGGCAGCAGUAGGGAAUCUUGCGCAAUGGGCGAAAGCCUGACGCAGCCAUGCCGCGUGAAUGAUGAAGUCUUAGGAUU